AUGCUUGUUCUCAGAUUAGCUUUGUUAAAAUAUCCAGCUACAUUAAAUGCAGCCUCAGGAUAUAUGGUUUCCAGUUUGCAGAAAGUCCAGUGAAGUUCCUUGAUGGUCGUCUUGGUAUCCUCUUGCGGGGGGAUAUACUUGGCUGUGGCGAUAACCGAGGAGAGUUCUCUUGGGAGAUAAUACCGUCGGCAUUUGAUUAGAGAUGUUUGUUCCUGUCGGCGGGAUGCACUUAAAAUCCUGUUGGCUCUACGGACUCCGACAGCAGGGUAGGCCUCUGGAAUUAGUUAAAAUGCCCUGGGAGGUGCCGACAAAGGAUCCACUUUGGGAAAAUCGUAUUCCUGGUUGUAGUGCUGCUUCCUAAGGACUUGAAGCGAAGCUGCCAUCUCUAUUGGUGCCAUCUUCCUCAGAACAUGGGCCAGCAUCCCUGUGGAACGCUUUCGGGGGUGCAACUCAAUAUUAGGAAGUUGUUCCUAAUGUUUUGUACACUCUGUGUGUGUUUUCUAUACCUGUUUGCUCCUCUCCCUAUAGGCUUUACAGACCCUUCCCACCCCUUGGCUGCAAACUUUCACAUUUUUCUCCAAACCAUCUCUGGAAACCUUGUUCCUCACUUUCCUCAAUUCAUCCCUAACCACUGUCUGCGUCCCAUCUGACUUCAAAAUGGCCCCUCAAGAAACCCACACAUGACUCCUAUAAUGUCAAAAACUACAGACCGGUAUCCCUUUAUUUUCUUUCCAAAAGACUUGAGCGUGCUGUCUCUGACCAACUCUCUCGAUAUUACUCUCAGAAUGAUCUUCUUGAGCCUAACCAGUCAGGCUUCAAGACAGAUCACUCAACUGAAGCUCCUCUUCUCUGUGUCACAGGGGCUAUCCGCACUGCCAAAGCUGACUCUCACUCCAUUACUUUAAAAAAAAACGUAAGACUAUACAAAUGGAAACAGGAUGCACCUGAGCUCAAUUUCGAGUCUCAAAGCAAAGUGUCUGAAUACUUAUGCAAAUAAAAAGGUAUUUGUUUUUUUUUAUAAUACUUUUAAAAAUAAAUUUGUCACU